CCUACGGGAGGCAGCAGUGGGGAAUAUUGCGCAAUGGGCGAAAGCCUGACGCAGCGACGCCGCGUGAGGGAUGAAGGUCUUCGGAUCGUAAACCUCUGUCAGCAGGGAAGAACGGUCACUGUGCUAAUCAGCAGUGAAUUGACGGUACCUGCAAAGGAAGCACCGGCUAACUCCGUGCCAGCAGCCGCGGUAAUACGGAGGGUGCGAGCGUUAAUCGGAAUUACUGGGCGUAAAGCGCUCGUAGGCGGUAUGUCAAGUCAAGGGUGAAAUCCCCGCGCUCAACGUGGGAACUGCCUUUGAAACUGGCAAACUGGAGUGUGUGAGAGGAUAGUGGAAUUCCAGGUGUAGGGGUGAAAUGCGUAGAUAUCUGGAGGAACAUCAGUGGCGAAGGCGACUAUCUGGCACAUAACUGACGCUGAGGAGCGAAAGCGUGGGUAGCAAACAGGAUUAGAUACCCGGGUAGUC
rnacentral:rRNA from 1 species